UCCCGGCUAGCUCAGUCGGUAGAGCGUCAGACUCUUAUACGCAAGGGUUUUCGAGAUCAUCUCGGAGUUCAUCUGAAUGUCGUGGGUUCGAGCCCCACGUUGGGAG
rnacentral:tRNA from 1 species